rnacentral:rRNA from 1 species
AAUAGAUACCCGGGUAGUCCACGCCGUAAACGAUGAGUGCUAAGUGUUAGGGGGUUUCCGCCCCUUAGUGCUGCAGCUAACGCAUUAAGCACUCCGCCUGGGGAGUACGGUCGCAAGACUGAAACUCAAAGGAAUUGACGGGGGCCCGCACAAGCGGUGGAGCAUGUGGUUUAAUUCGAAGCAACGCGAAGAACCUUACCAGGUCUUGACAUCCCGCUGACCGUUAUGGAGACAUAGCUUUCCCUUCGGGGACAGCGGUGACAGGUGGUGCAUGGUUGUCGUCAGCUCGUGUCGUGAGAUGUUGGGUUAAGUCCCGCAACGAGCGCAACCCUUGUCCUUAGUUGCCAUCAUUCAGUUGGGCACUCUAAGGAGACUGCCGUACAAAUACGGAGGAAGGUGGGGAUGACGUCAAAUCAUCAUGCCCCUUAUGACCUGGGCUACACACGUGCUACAAUGGACGGUACAAACGGUUGCGAAGUCGCGAGACGGAGCCAAUCCGAGAAAGCCGUUCUCAGUUCGGAUUGCAGGCUGCAACUCG